GACGAACGCUGGCGGCGUGCUUAGCACAUGCAAGUCGAACGGAAAGGCCCUGCUUUUGUGGGGUGCUCGAGUGGCGAACGGGUGAGUAACACGUGAGUAACCUGCCCUUGACUUUGGGAUAACUUCAGGAAACUGGGGCUAAUACCGGAUAGGAGCUCCUGCUGCAUGGUGGGGGUUGGAAAGUUUCGGCGGUUGGGGAUGGACUCGCGGCUUAUCAGCUUGUUGGUGGGGUAGUGGCUUACCAAGGCUUUGACGGGUAGCCGGCCUGAGAGGGUGACCGGCCACAUUGGGACUGAGAUACGGCCCAGACUCCUACGGGAGGCAGCAGUGGGGAAUAUUGCACAAUGGGCGGAAGCCUGAUGCAGCAACGCCGCGUGCGGGAUGACGGCCUUCGGGUGGUAAACCGCUUUCGCCUGUGACGAAGCGUGAGUGACGGUAAUGGGUAAAGAAGCACCGGCUAACUACGU
rnacentral:rRNA from 1 species